UGUAUAAUGGGUCAGCGACUUAUAUUCUGUAGCAAGGUUAACCGAAUAGGGGAGCCGAAGGGAAACCGAGUCUUAACUGGGCGUUAAGUUGCAGGGUAUAGACCCGAAACCCGGUGAUCUAGCCAUGGGCAGGUUGAAGGUUGGGUAACACUAACUGGAGGACCGAACCGACUAAUGUUGAAAAAUUAGCGGAUGACUUGUGGCUGGGGGUGAAAGGCCAAUCAAACCGGGAGAUAGCUGGUUCUCCCCGAAAGCUAUUUAGGUAGCGCCUCGUGAAUUCAUCUCCGGGGGUAGAGCACUGUUUCGGCAAGGGGGUCAUCCCGACUUACCAACCCGAUGCAAACUGCGAAUACCGGAGAAUGUUAUCACGGGAGACACACGGCGGGUGCUAACGUCCGUCGUGAAGAGGGAAACAACCCAGACCGCCAGCUAAGGUCCCAAAGUCAUGGUUAAGUGGGAAACGAUGUGGGAAGGCCCAGACAGCCAGGAUGUUGGCUUAGAAGCAGCCAUCAUUUAAAGAAAGCGUAAUAGCUCACUGGUCGAGUCGGCCUGCGCGGAAGAUGUAACGGGGCUAAACCAUGCACCGAAGCUGCGGCAGCGACGCUUAGGCGUUGUUGGGUAGGGGAGCGUUCUGUAAGCCUGCGAAGGUG
rnacentral:rRNA from 1 species